AACGAACGCUGGCGGCGUGCUUAACACAUGCAAGUCGAACGCGAAAGGGACUUCGGUCCUGAGUAAAGUGGCGCACGGGUGAGUAACGCGUAGAUAACCUGUCUUCAUGUCUGGAAUAAUACGCCGAAAGGGGUACUAAUACCGGAUAUUCUUGCUUUUCAUAAGUUAUGCAAGCAAAGGUGGCCUCUGCAUAUGCUACUGCAUGAAGAGGGGUCUGCGUACCAUUAGCUAGUAGGUGGGUAAUGGCCUACCUAGGCGACGAUGGUUAGCGGGUCUGAGAGGAUGAUCCGCCACACUGGCACUGGAACACGGGCCAGACUCCUACGGGAGGCAGCAGUGAGGAAUAUUGCGCAAUGGGGAAACCCUGACGCAGCGACGCCGCGUGAGUGAGGAAAGGCCUUCGGGUCGUAAAGCUCUGUCAAGAGGAAAGAAGUGUACAAUGGCUAAUACCUGUUGUAUUUGACGGUACCUCUAAAGGAAGCACCGGCUAACUCCGUGCCAGCAGCAGC
rnacentral:rRNA from 1 species